rnacentral:rRNA from 1 species
UGUCAGCAGCCGCGGUAAUACAUAGGGUGCAAGCGUUGUCCGGAAUUAUUGGGCGUAAAGAGCUCGUAGGUGGUUCGUUACGUCGGAUGUGAAAAUCUGGGGCUCAACCCCAGACCUGCAUCCGAUACGGUCGAGCUAGAGUUUGGUAGGGGAGACUGGAAUUCCUGGUGUAGCGGUGGAAUGCGCAGAUAUCAGGAGGAACACCAAUGGCGAAGGCAGGUCUCUGGGCCAAUACUGACACUGAGGAGCGAAAGCGUGGGGAGCGAACAGGAUUAGAUACCCUGGUAGUCCACGCCGUAAACGGUGGGCGCUAGUUGUGGGAACCUUCCACGGUUUCUGCGACGCAGCUAACGCAUUAAGCGCCCCGCCUGGGGAGUACGAUCGCAAGAUUAAAACUUAAAGGAAUUGGCGG